AAGUCGUAACAAGGUUUCCGUAGGUGAACCUGCGGAAGGAUCAUUACCGAGUUAGGGCCCUCCACAGGGCCCGACCUCCCAACCCCUUGUUUAAUCAUACCAUUUGUUGCUUCGGCGGGACGGUCUUCCCAGACCGCCGGAGGGUGCUCACCGCCCCUCUGGAGAGUCUUGCCCGCCGAUGGCCCCCUUCAAAAUCUUGAACCCAACCAUGACGCCUAAAUUGAUUUAUUGUAUAAUGUACAAAAAAUAAAACUUUCAACAACGGAUCUCUUGGUUCUG
rnacentral:misc_RNA from 1 species